rnacentral:rRNA from 1 species
UAGACGGAGAGUUUGAUCCUGGCUCAGGGUUAACGCUGGCGGCGCGCCUGAUACAUGCAAGUCGAGCGAGGGCUCAUUUCUCGCAAGAGAGAUGGGUUCCUAGCGGCGAACGGGUGAGUAACACGUGGGCAACCUUUCCCAAAGUGGGGGAUAACAUCGAGAAAUCGGUGCUAAUACCGCAUGUGGUCAUCGAAGACAUCUUCGAUGAGAAAAGCAGCAAUGCGCUUUGGGGUGGGCCCGCGGCCUAUCAGCUAGUUGGUGGGGUAACGGCCUACCAAGGCAUUGACGGGUAGCUGGUCUGAGAGGACGACCAGCCACACGGGGACUGAGACACGGCCCCGACUCCUACGGGAGGCAGCAGUAAGGAAUCUUCCGCAAUGGGCGAAAGCCUGACGGAGCGACGCCGCGUGUGGGAUGAAGUCUUUCGGGAUGUAAACCACUGUCGGAGGGGAAGAGAACGGACGGUACCCUCCAAGAAAGCCCCGGCUAACUACGUGCCAGCAGCCGCGGUAAUACGUAGGGGGCAAGCGUUACUCGGAUUUACUGGGCGUAAAGCGCGUGUAGGCGGCUGGUCAAGAGUGAUGUGAAAUCUCCGGGCUCAACCCGGAAACUGCAUCGCUAACUGGCCUGGCUAGAGUGCAGGAGAGGGCAGUGGAAUUCACGGUGUAGCGGUGGAAUGCGUAGAUAUCGUGAGGAACACCAGUGGCGAAGGCGACUGCCUGGCCUGUAACUGACGCUGAGACGCGAAAGCGUGGGGAGCGAACCGGAUU